CCUACGGGUGGCAGCAGUGGGGAAUAUUGGACAGUGGGCGAAAGCCUGAUCCAGCCAUGCCGCGUGUGUGAAGAAGGCCUUCGGGUUGUAAAGCACUUUCAGUGGGGAAGAAAGCCUUGGGGCUAAUACCCUCGAGGAAGGACAUCACCCACAGAAGAAGCACCGGCUAACUCCGUGCCAGCAGCCGCGGUAAUACGGAGGGUGCGAGCGUUAAUCGGAAUUACUGGGCGUAAAGCGCGCGUAGGCGGUCUGAUAAGCCGGUUGUGAAAGCCCCUGGCUCAACCUGGGAACGGCAUCCGGAACUGUCAGGCUAGAGUGCAGGAGAGGAAGGUAGAAUUCCCGGUGUAGCGGUGAAAUGCGUAGAGAUCGGGAGGAAUACCAGUGGCGAAGGCGGCCUUCUGGACUGACACUGACGCUGAGGUGCGAAAGCGUGGGUAGCAAACAGGAUUAGAUACCCCAGUAGUC
rnacentral:rRNA from 1 species